GAAAGGUGUGUCCUGACCGCAGGACAGAGGGAAAUUUCCAGUUACAGAAGACACUGAUUGCGGUGGCUAGGAAGGAUGCACAAAGAGUUUGACCGGUGGAGGUGACAAGAUUGCAAAAUGUUAGGUCCCUCAUCAUGGCGGAUGCUACCAUCUUCGAAUCAAGACACUGGCGGAUGGUUCAUGAGCCAGGGAUAAUAGGAUCCUUCUGAGAAGAAGAGAAGACUUUGGGGUGAGGAAAGAGUUGGAGUUCCGUACUGGACAUUCUGGUUUAUGAUCAUUCAUUCAGUGACGAGCAGAUGGAUUUCCAAACCAGAAGUUCGGUGAAGAAGUCCAGCUAGACGUACACAUCAGGGGAUCACCGGGGGGCAUCAGGAUGGCAGUUAGAGUC